GGCUGUAGCUCAGUGGUAGAGUGCUUGCCUUGUACACGUGAGGCUCUGGGUUCGAUCCUCAGCACCA
rnacentral:tRNA from 1 species